rnacentral:rRNA from 1 species
UACAGAGGUCUCAAGCGUUGUUCGGAUUCAUUGGGCGUAAAGGGUGCGUAGGCGGCAAUUCAAGUCAUCUGUGAAAUCUCCGGGCUUAACCCGUAACGGUCAGAUGAUACUGCUUUGCUAGAGUGCGGAAGGGGCAAUCGGAAUUCUCGGUGUAGCGGUGAAAUGCGUAGAUAUCGAGAGGAACACCUGAGGUGAAGACGGGUUGCUGGGCCGACACUGACGCUGACAGCGCGAAAGCCAGGGGAGCAAACGGG